UCGCUCUUCAACGAGGAAUCCCUAGUAAGCACAAGUCACCAGCUUGUGCUGAUUACGUCCCUGCCCUUUGUACACACCGCCCGUCGCUACUACCGAUUGAAUGGCUUAGUGAGGCCCUCGGAUCGACUUUCUGAGACUGGCAGCAGUCUCUGAUUGUUGAGAAGUUGGUCAAACUUGGUCAUUUAGAGGAAGUAAAAGUCGUAACAAGGUUUCCGUAGGUGAACCUGCGGAAGGAUCAUUAAUGAUUUGGCGAACCUAACGUUAGUUAGGUUUUGCGAUCACUUAUUUAAAACCCAACUCUUAAAUGUAUAAUUUAUGUAUUUCUUGAUAAGAAAAAUAAAGAUCACUUUCAACAACGGAUCUCUUGGCUCUCGCAUCGAUGAAGAACGUAGCGAAGUGCGAUAAGUAAUGUGAAUUGCAGAAUUCCGUGAAUCAUCGAAUCUUUGAACGCAAAUUGCACUUUCUGGUAUUCCGGAAAGUAUGCCUGUUUGAGGGUCAGUUAAAUAAAAAUCGGUGUUAUUGCUAUUAUGGCGAUGCAUCGGAAUUGAGUCGUCUUUACCUUUGGUUUAAGUGACUUAAAAUUAUGUACGAUUUUUGAACGUAUUUAAAUUAUUUACUUAUGUUCAUAAUAUCACAUAUUAGGUGCGAUCAUCCACAUGAUUUUGCGCCUAUAAUUUUUCAUUAUUUGACCUCAAAUCAGGUAAGAAUACCCGCUGAACUUAAGCAUAUCAAUAAGCGGAGGAAAAGAAAAUAACAAUGAUUCCCUUAGUAACGGCGAGUGAAGGGGGAUAAGCUCAAAUUUUAAAUCUGCUAGGUUUUACCUAUCAGAGUUGUAAUUUGAAGAAGCGUUUUCCGCGUCUCGGUUGACCCAAAUCCUUUGGGAUAUGGUAUCAUGGAGGGUGAGAAUCCCGUCCGGUUGACUUUGUGACGCUUUACGAUACGUUUUCAAAGAGUCGAGUUGUUUGGGAUUGCAGCUCAAAAUGGGAGGUAAAUUUCUCCUAAGGCUAAAUACCGGCGAGAGACCGAUAGCGAACAAGUACCGUGAGGGAAAGAUGAAAAGAACUUUGAAAAGAGAGUUAAACAGUACGUGAAAUUGUUGAAAGGGAAACGAUUGAAGCCAGUCGUUCUGACGGAAAAUCAACUUUUCGGGUGCCUAUCGUGGGUGACGUUGAGCCUCACGGUCUUCGUUGCUUGUGUUUGUUGGUACCUUUGGAGUGCACUUUUUCGUAUGGUAGGUCAACAUCGAUUUUAAUCGUCAUAAAAUGAUCGGAGGAAUGUGGCUUCGAUUUCGAUUGGAGUGUUAUAGCCUUUGGUAGAUGUGACGAUUAGGAUCGAGGAUUGCAACGAAUACCCUUUGGGCUAUCCGUCUGGCCUCUGAAAGUCGCUUGGGUGCUGAAAGCUUUGCUUAUAGUAUUCAAGUUGGCGGUCAACAGGUUAGAACGUGAUUACAUUCGUUAAGGAUGUUGACAUAAUGGCUUUAAACGACCCGUCUUGAAACACGGACCAAGGAGUCUAACAUAUGUGCGAGUGUU
rnacentral:rRNA from 1 species